rnacentral:rRNA from 1 species
AGAAUGAACGUUGGCGGCGUGGAUUAGGCAUGCAAGUCGUACGGGCCGCAAGGCCAGUGGCGCAAGGGUGAGUAAGGCGACGGUAACCAACCCCAUGAUUGGGUAUAGCCGCGGGAAACCGCGGGUAAUCCCCAGCGACGUCACGCGGAGGCAUCCCCGCGUGACCAAAAGCCCCGGCGUCGUGGGACGGGCUGUCGUGGUAUUAGCUUGUUGGCGGGGUAACGGCCCACCAAGGCACCGAUCGGUAGCUGGUCUGAGAGGACGACCAGCCACACUGGGACUGAGACACGGCCCAGACUCCUACGGGAGGCAGCAGUGGGGAAUUUUGCGCAAUGGGGGAAACCCUGACGCAGCAACGCCGCGUGGAGGAUGAAAUAUCUUGGUAUGUAAACUCCUUUCGAUGGGGAAGAUUAUGACGGUACCCAUAGAAGAAGCCCCGGCUAACUUCGUGCCAGCAGCCGC